CUCUUUUCUCUCGUCGUCUCCGUCGAGGUGAUUAGCCUGGCGAAUCUUCUCGUUGCUGGCUUCUCGCCGGCGUCUCGCCGGUUAUUUCUUUGGCUGAAGCGUCGAUUUGGAGCUGGCAUCUCAGUUUAUGGGUACAAUUGCUAUGGAUUUGUAAAAUGUGUUUGA
rnacentral:lncRNA from 2 species